GACGAACGCUGGCGGCAUGCCUAAUACAUGCAAGUCGAACGGAGUAUAAUAAGAAGCUUGCUUCUUCUUAUACUUAGUGGCGGACGGGUGAGUAACACGUAGGCAACCUGCCUGUAAGUCGGGGAUAACUCACGGAAACGUGAGCUAAGACCGGAUAGUCGAGAGGAAGGCAUCUUCUUCUUGGGAAAGACGGAGCAAUCUGUCGCUUAUGGAUGGGCCUGCGGCGCAUUAGCUAGUUGGUGAGGUAACGGCUCACCAAGGCGACGAUGCGUAGCCGACCUGAGAGGGUGAACGGCCACACUGGGACUGAGACACGGCCCAGACUCCUACGGGAGGCUG
rnacentral:rRNA from 1 species